rnacentral:rRNA from 1 species
GACGAACGCUGGCGGCGUGCUUAACACAUGCAAGUCGAGCGGUAAGGCCCUUUCGGGGGUACACGAGCGGCGAACGGGUGAGUAACACGUGGGUGACCUGCCCUUAGCUCUGGGAUAAGCCUGGGAAACUGGGUCUAAUACCGGAUAUGACUCCAUGACGCAUGUUGUGGGGUGGAAAGCCUUGUGCGGCUAGGGAUGGGCCCGCGGCCUAUCAGCUUGUUGGUGGGGUGAUGGCCACCAAGGCGACGACGGGUAGCCGGCCUGAGAGGGUGAUCGGCCACACUGGGACUGAGACACGGCCCAGACUCCUACGGGAGGCAGCAGGUGGGGAAUCUUGCGCAAUGGGCGGAAGCCUGACGCAGCAACGCCGC